rnacentral:lncRNA from 1 species
UACUCCUUAAAAUCCAUGAUAAAGGCCAUCAUACUAUAGAGAACUAUGGUGGAAGGAGUGCCUGCAUGAAUUGAGAGGAAGAACCGCAAAAAUAAAGCUUAUAUGAUCUGUAACUUUGAAAUUUUUGUGGUUGGUAUGCCUGCCGAGUCGACUCGAUAUUUUGUUAGAGAUGGGCUACAUAGCCUUAGGCAGUCCUACUCAAGCAUUUUGAUUUUCAGUCACCAUUAGACCAGAGAUCCUAUCAGGAUCACUGGAUGUGGGUUGAUGUAUGGAAGGCCUUCUAUGACUAGUGGAGUAACAAAGAGUACUCCAGUAGGUGGCAGAGGGCCUGACAGAAUUGGACCGUCCAGCAAGA